AAUUUUUGUUUUUUCUAAGGAAAAACCCUAAAGUGAAUAGGAGAAAACGAGAGGAAUGAGGAAGAGCGUUGAGGAAGAAGAGCAAAAACAGAAAGAAAUCCGUUUCCCUCAUCUUGUCAUCCUCAAUGCUUUACAGAUGAAACUAAGACACAUGGCCCUGGUGCCCAGUCUGCACUCCUUGCUCUUGCUCGUUCUGGAAAGAGAAUUGGUCGUAUGGGUAACUUUUCUAGAUGAUAAUGAUCAGUUCUUGUUGGCUAGAUUGAAGAAUAAGACAUCUUGGUGGCUUCCUAGUUCAUGUAUAUCAGGGGCCUCAGCUUGUUUUUUUUCCCCCCUUAUUUCUUUCAAGUUGGAGGCCAUGGCUUCUGCUAGUGGACAUCAUAUAUAGUCCCAUCCUUGGCGGACAUAAAACUUAUUGACCUCAUGUUUAUAUCAUAUAUAGGGGCAGAUAAAAGUCUAGGCAAUAUCUAUUGUUGCGAGAUAAUGGCACACUGAUCUAUUAUCUUCCUAGGUGUCUUCCUAGAAGAUUACCUGAUCAAGUUGGUACCAAUAUUUGUCUCGUCAACAAUAACCAUGGAAUGGUUCUGACCACAAGCAACACUAAAGAGAAGAAUCCUCCAUCAGCAUGACCAGCAUGUACAAUUGAAACUUAUGGUAUGACAUAAAUGUAUUGAAUAAAAGAGAACAGAGCAGCCAGGGCCUCCAGUGAAUUAAAGCAUAACAGGGUAUUCAGAAGGUCUUCUCGUCAACUCAACAGAAUAGUAGAACCCAACCCCAAAUGAGAACGGACCCAUUCUCCGAUUCAUAUAAAAAAUUAACAGAAAGUACAUCAAAAUUGACAAAACUUAGAAGACCCAAUGCCAUGAAUCCUGAUAGUUAUAGAACCAAGAGAUAAACUACAAUAUUAACAGGUCUAAAUUCAAACUUUCAAUAGCAAAAUAUCAGUUCAUCCACCUCCAAAAUUACAUCAAAUUCACAAACUCAGCAAGACCCCGAUGGUAAAAUAAUAGUAAAGAACCCAAAUCGAGUCUCAUCACACUACAAAAAAAGAAUUGUUUUGGCUUCGGAAGUUUGCGUUAGCAAACCUUUGCCGUCGCCAAUGAUCGCUCUAUUGCGUCGGCAAAAUUUUGCCGUCGCAAAAAUAUAUUGAGUUUGCAACGGUGACGAUGUGCGGUCGCACUGGCGGUCGCCAAACUAUCUUCUUUUACAUCGGCAAAAUAUAGCCGUCGUAAGGAAUUGAAAUUUCGCGACUGCAUCAGCUCUGCCGUCGCGUUGUGACGGAGGCUGCUGUUCCAAGUCACAUUUCUUUUUAUCGAGAGGAAAAAUAGUCUUUGAACUUCCCCUCUCUUCGAUAAAAAAAGCCCUUACUCCCUCUUUCUUCUCUCGUGUGCAUUUCGAUCUGACCCAUUCCCGCUCCAUUCUGUUUAGAUUUUCCCCUUCAUCUCUUUGUUUGUCAUCUCUCUCGAUCUGACCAAUUCGCCGCUGAAUCUGCAAGCGCCUUUCUUGGGUAAGGUCAGAAUUUCUUCACCAUAUUUCUAUCAAAUCCGGCCACUUCACCAGUAGAUCUACCAACCAAAAUGUUUCUAUUAACUUCCUAUGUAAACCCAGCAAAAGAUCGAGGGAAGAAGAAAGGAAAAGGUGAGAUCUGAUUACAUCUGAUCAACUGGAUUUUAUUAUUUUUACUUCUGAUUUGUUUGGGUCACUGUGAAUAUCGACGCGGCGACGACGAAUCACGUGGGCGGGAAGUCCGGAAUCGCUGACCGGACCAGGAUAUCUGUGGUUUAUAUAAACCAAGGUAUUCAUGAUAUUAUAACAUGGUAUUUGUGGUUUAUAUCUGCUUCUGCUUCUCUUCUUCUGCAGGCUUUAGGUACUUCAAAGGCUGGUGGACCAAUUCCCUCCUUUAAAAGCAUUUCAUUUUGUCCUUGACGACAUUGAUGAGGUAUGGCAUUGUAAUCUCAUCUUUUGUUACUUUGGAUCAUUGUUUGUUGCCACUUAGAACCUAUUCGUUCAGUAAUAGUAAGAAAAGUUAGGGGAUUCAUUUAUUUGUAUAAAACUAAAACUAAAUCACGAGAAAGAGAGAGGGGGCUAUCUUCUUAGACGGCCCUAAACGCAUUUUCCUCGAAUUUUCUUCCUCUGUUUUUCUCUCACUCGUUGAUCUUCAUAUACAGAGGGUUCUUUGUUUGUUUGUUUGUUUGAUUUGAUUGUCAAUACCCAAGUCAAGGCUUUGUUCUUUCUGUUCGUUUCUGGGUAUGUUGUUCCAUCUUUUUACUUGAUGAAUGAGUUCUGGUUGUUGUGUUUUGAGUUGAAAGUUGUGAUUUUUGAUCAGAAGUUUAUGUUUAGUUGGUCAAAGAUUGAGUUUUUAAGUUGUUUUGGAAUAUGAUAAUCUGUUAUGUUUGCAUCCCAACUGGUUUAGUUGGUCAAAGAUUGAGUUUUUAAGUUCUUUGGGAAUAUGGUAGUCUAUUUUGUUUGCAUCCCAAAUCAUUUAUGGGGUGAAGUUAGUUGAUUUCUGUUUCAAAGAUUGAUUUUUUGUCAGUUAUUUCGAUGUGGUUUUGUUGGUGUUGGGUUUGUUAGAAGAUAGCAAUCAGUUUUUUCAGUGUAUGUAGUCUCAUCUAUUAAUUUAUGGAUGUUUCUGUGGUGGAAUUUUGUAGGUUUUCUUGAUCCUGGUAGGUCUGGUUUCAAUUGUUUCAUGAAAUAUGUGCAUUUUGUUGUAAAUAUUUGUGGAUAAUCAUGUAAAUAGAUGUUGAGUAAUAGGUGUCUAUCCCUAUAGAUUGGUGAUUGAUAGGUUGUAAUUGUAGGAGUGAUUAGAUUGUAAUCAAGCAUUACCCUUUUGUGUACACCAUGUAGUCCUAUAUAAGGCUCCUCAUGGUGAGAUGAAUAAUACACACAUUCUAUUCUCUACGUCUAUACUCUCUCUCUCUCUCAAAUUCGUUUACUAUAGUUUUACAACACGUUAUCAGCACGAUACUCUAACCCAAGCCCUAGCCAGGAAAAAAACCCGCCCCCUGCUGCAGCCUGUUUGAACGCCCCGAAACCUCUUGAUCGGGACCUCAGAUCAAAAUCUUUCCUUCAUCAAAGUUCUUCGUCUCUGCCUCUUCUAUCUGACCUCCAAAUUUCAGCCCUAUUGGAAUCGUUUUGAGACCUGUACACCAUUCGAAGUGGGAGCUGUUCAGAAGAGAAUCUGCUCCGUGUUCACGACUAGCUCUAAGAUUUGGAUCGAAUAGCUUUGAGAUUCGGGAUUUCCUACUAGAAGAGGUGAAUAUCUCUUGGAUUGGCUGAGAAGACGACCUUCUCAAUUCUGCACACAUAAGCUAAAGAUUCAUCCGUCCUUCAUCAAGUAAUGUUUUCCAAAACCUAAUUUUAUAUUCAUGCUUAUUGAGCCUAUUGAUUGAAUAUGAAAAAUCACCAUAAUGCAUGAACCCAAGCAAGUCCUACAUGAUUUAUUUACUUGGUAUACGUAUUUGUAUAUAUUUGUUCAUGUGUUUGGGAUUGUUUGAUUGGGAAAGAAAAGAGAAAAAUUUAUGGACUGCAACUAUA